rnacentral:rRNA from 1 species
GAUGAACGCUGGCGGCGUGCCUAAUACAUGCAAGUCGAGCGAACAGACGAGGAGCUUGCUCCUCUGACGUUAGCGGCGGACGGGUGAGUAACACGUGGAUAACCUACCUAUAAGACUGGGAUCACUUCGGGAAACCGGCGCUAAUCCCGGAUAAUAUAUUGAACCGCAUGGUUCAAUAGUGAAAGACGGUUUUGCUGUCACUUAUAGAUGGUUCCGCGCCGCAUUAGCUAGUUGGUAAGGUAACGGCUUACCAAGGCAACGAUGCGUAGCCGACCUGAGAGAGGGAUCGGCCACACUGGAACGGAGACACGGUCCAGAGUCCUACGGUAGGCAGCAGUAGGGAAUCUUCCGCAAUGGGCGAAAGCCUGACGGAGCAACGCCGCGUGAGUGAUGAAGGUCUUCGGAUCGUAAAACUCGGUUAUUAGGGAAGAACAAAUGUGUAAGUAACUAUGCACGUCUUGACGGUACCUAAUCAGAAAGCCACGGCUAACUACGUG